AGGCGGUCUUUCAAGUCAGGAGUGAAAGGCUACGGCUCAACCGUAGUAAGCUCUUGAAACUGGGAGACUUGAGUGCAGGAGAGGAGAGGGGAAUUCCUAGUGUAGCGGUGAAAUGCGUAGAUAUUAGGAGGAACACCAGUUGCGAAGGCGGCUCUCUGGACUGUAACUGACGCUGAGGCACGAAAGCGUGGGGAGCAAACAGGAUUAGAUACCCUG
rnacentral:rRNA from 1 species